AGACCCGAAACCCGGUGAUCUAGCCAUGGGCAGGUUGAAGGUUGGGUAACACUAACUGGAGGACCGAACCGACUAAUGUUGAAAAAUUAGCGGAUGACCUGUGGCUGGGGGUGAAAGGCCAAUCAAACCGGGAGAUAGCUGGUUCUCCCCGAAAGCUAUUUAGGUAGCGCCUCGUGAAUUCAUCUCCGGGGGUAGAGCACUGUUUCGGCUAGGGGGUCAUCCCGACUUACCAACCCGAUGCAAACUGCGAAUACCGGAGAAUGUUAUCACGGGAGACACACGGCGGGUGCUAACGUCCGUCGUGAAGAGGGAAACAACCCAGACCGCCAGCUAAGGUCCCAAAGUCAUGGUUAAGUGGGAAACGAUGUGGGAAGGCCCAGACAGCCAGGAUGUUGGCUUAGAAGCAGCCAUCAUUUAAAGAAAGCGUAAUAGCUCACUGGUCGAGUCGGCCUGCGCGGAAGAUGUAACGGGGCUAAACCAUGCACCGAAGCUGCGGCAGCGACACUCAGGUGUUGUUGGGUAGGGGAGCGUUCUGUAAGCCUGUGAAGGUGGCCUGUGAGGGUUGCUGGAGGUAUCAGAAGUGCGAAUGCUGACAUAAGUAACGAUAAAGCGGGUGAAAAGCCCGCUCGCCGGAAGACCAAGGGUUCCUGUCCAACGUUAAUCGGGGCAGGGUGAGUCGACCCCUAAGGCGAGGCCGAAAGGCGUAGUCGAUGGGAAACGGGUUAAUAUUCCCGUACUUGGUGUUACUGCGAAGGGGGGACGGAGAAGGCUAUGUUGGCCGGGCGACGGUUGUCCCGGUUUAAGCGUGUAGGUGUGUGUUCCAGGUAAAUCCGGUUCACUUUAACACUGAGGCGUGAUGACGAGGCACUACGGUGCUGAAGCAACAAAUGCCCUGCUUCCAGGAAAAGCCUCUAAGCAUCAGGUAACAUCAAAUCGUACCCCAAACCGACACAGGUGGUCAGGUAGAGAAUACCAAGGCGCUUGAGAGAACUCGGGUGAAGGAACUAGGCAAAAUGGUGCCGUAACUUCGGGAGAAGGCACGCUGACAC
rnacentral:rRNA from 1 species